UUGCAGCUUCUGUGGAGCAGAUCUACGCUCUGCACAUCUUCAGGGUGCUGAUCUAACUAAUGCGAACUUGGAGGGAGCUAAUCUCGAAGGAGCUAAUUUGAAGGGUGCAAAACUUCCUAAUGCCAAUUUGAAGAGUGCAAACCUACAACGAGCCUAUUUGCGAUAUGUGAAUCUCAGAGACACUCAGUUGGAAGGUGCAAGACUUGAUGGCGCAAACUUACUGGGAGCAAUCAGGUGAACCAAACUACAAAAGUAUCAAAG
rnacentral:misc_RNA from 1 species